rnacentral:lncRNA from 1 species
AGUGGUUCAGUUGUACCAGAAACAUGCAACCACUCUAUUCGCAAAGAGUUGCUCCAGAGUAAGGAUGGAGUUGGGCCCAACAACUAUUAGGUGAGGGACCUAAUGACGAUUUUGCACUUUCUUGUGAAUGGUGGGUCGGGUUUAACUAAGGAGUAUCAUCAAUAACUAUUAGGUGAGCCCAUAUAACCUAGAGAUAAGUCAC